AUUGGUCAAGGACAUGUUGAAAACUCAACGAAAUCACAGGGCUCUUCUCCUUGCAAUGGUUCUUCGGAUGAUGCUUGACUUAGAAGCAAGUUAAAUAUGUUCAAGAACACAUUCCAAUCUGGGUUUCUCUCCAUUCUAUGCAGCCUUGGCUGUGCAUUUUUCUGGAUAAUUAGGAGCAAACCUUUGCAGAUAUGGGAUAAAGAAUGUGAGUCCGGACAACCUAGUAAUCAACUUCUGAGAUGCUUUUUAAAUUUCAAGUACUUUUAUUUGUUGUUCUUGUCUCUCGAGUAUGGUCUGGACUGAAGAAGCAACUCCUUAGUUUCUUUUUUUGCUUGGUCUGAGCUUCUUUGAAUCUGAAAUAAGUCUUAAGGCCUUG